GACCCCACUUACUCCUCUCUCUCUCACACUCACAGACUCACGCUCUCACCCUCUCACUCACGAUUCACGCUCUCACCCUCUCGCACUCUCACUAGGUCUGGCCGUCAUCACGGCACGGCGCACCACCACCAUGCCACGCCACGCCACGCCACCACCGUCCACCAGUCCAGCCGCCCCUCUGCGGCUCUAUCCUAGGUCUGGUUGAUUUCCUGAAACUUAAAUCUAAGUGUUUUUGUUCUCUCGCCCAACGUACCCAUCGCGCCGUUCGCCGCGCCUCUCAGGACUCAUCGCUGUGCCGCGCCUCCGAGGCUCCGCCGCGCCAUGCCAGACUUCCAGGACCCAUCGCUGUGCCUCGUCUUUCCGCGCCUCCUAACACCCACCGGCCACCGCCUUGUGUCGCGCCUCCUGACACCCACCGCCUUGUUGCGCCACUCUCCUCUUUUCACUCAGGCAUCAUUUGGUGAAGAAACUUCAAGAUUUGGUGAAGAGCCCUUUUCCUGUUAUUUCCAUCAUUCAGGAACUAUAAGUGACAUUCUUGUGGAAGAUGGAAAACCUCAGCCGGUCAGCCCCCAUUUGUGAUUGAACCAUAGAGAUUUGAAGUUGAGCUUCCCCUUUGUAAUCUGAUUGAGUUGUAUAAUUUUUGUUUUUCUUACUCAUAUCCUUCAGUAUUUUGAACUUUCGGUGUUUUACUUUCAUGUAAAAGAUCCCAUAAAACUUGAUCAUUAUAUAGUUCCAUUGAUGCUUAGUGUUCCUCCUAUGUAAAGUGUGUUUGUUAGUUACUUACAUUGAAAGUGAUGUAUUCAAUAACAUUGAUUCUAAGCUUGUUGUUCAACGAUUUCAGAAUAUGAAAUCGCGUAGAGGACAACUAUGAUUUGUAUAAUUUAUGAUGUAU